rnacentral:lncRNA from 1 species
UGCUAAAAAGAUGAGUAUUUUAUUAGAUUUUUUUAAUCCAUUUCUAAUCCAAAUUUGAACAAAAAUAUCAUGAAAAAUCAUUUAAAUUUGAAAAUUUCCAAUGUGUUUCUUUAAGAAAUCAUUUGAUAUAUAAUGUUAUAUUUUAUUUAAACGUCCUGUAAUAUGUAGCCAUUUGCUCGGUAGUACUUGCGUUACAUGAUUUACAAUUAAAUUUAGAUGUAUCACAAGUAAUACCGACCCAGAUCUCACCACGUGGAGGUUGCUACAUAUGGAGAUCCACGAGCUACAAUAUUAUAUUAAUCAGCCGCGUUUAAUGAACCUUCUUUUAACUCGAUCGUAAUUUAUUAAGGAUUCAUCAACCUUGAUUUUGCACUAGCCUAAAAGUAAAUUACACUUGUUUUAACGUUUUUAUAUAGUAAUGAAUUCGAACUUAAAAUUUGUAUCCAAUAAAAUAACAAAUUAAAAUUA